ACGGAGUGUCUAUUCGUCCGGCUAGCCGGACGAAUAGUUAAAAAUCUCUAUUCGUCCGGCCAUCCGUCUGCGGAUGCGCAAAUAUUCAAUAUCAAUAAAAGUGUCAUGUGACGUGGAAAGUGUCCCGGAUGAGGUGUCGGAUAACACACGCGGUGUCGGAUAACACACGCGCGUAUGCAAUGGACGUGUUGAGAAUUGGAGAUCGUGAUUCAUAUUUAAAG
rnacentral:lncRNA from 1 species